CUUCACAUGCAAUCAGCGUUGCUGAAAGCAGCUGUCCAGGUCUCUUGUCGCUUAAAUUCCACUUCUCCUUGGAGCGGGGAUGAAGUCUGAGAUCUCGAAUGUGGCCUCUGAGGCCCCAUAAGAUCAGGCCCUGCUUUGUGUCCUGAUGCCAAGGUCCUCAAUGCUGAGAGCCCUGAGCCCAAGACAAGGUGUGGUGCACACAGACCUUGCCUGGAUCUUUUCGAAACCAGUGGUGGAUGGCCAAGAUUCAUUUCCACUUAUUUCCCAUGCAAAAGGCAAAGUUGUCAGCUGUUUGGUGAAUAUGUCAGAGCUCUGGCCUAGAAGAAUCUCCUGGAACCCUGGCUGCCUGGGUAAGCCACAGUUGCGCUGCUUCUCCACCCAGUGACUCCAGCUGCUGCCCUUUGAUCUCUGAUGUUUACCCUGUGCUGAUUUUCUCUUGCCUCACUCGCUUUCUGCUGUCCACACAUCUCGAUGAGCCGGCUGCGCCUGCCUCUGUGAGGUCCCCACGUUCCUCAGGUUUGCACCUUUUAUUGUGCUUGUCAGGACAGGGAAGCAGCUUGUACCGCUGUGGGGAAAAUAGAAACAGAUAAGCCUUACUGAGGGCUCAGGGAAAGGGCCUCUCCUCUUCUCUCCUUGCAUAUUGUGAGUAUACUUUGAUAUUUCUCUUUUGACACCUGAGAUGUUUUGCAGACUUACUUCCACAUUUUCUAUAACAUCCCGGAUACACGAGGUUACCAGAUUGCUGGAUUCUGAAUAACUGAAGCAUCUCAGCAUCAAUCAUCCUCUAAGUGAACCCAAUGCCCCGAGGCCUGCUUCUGUUUUCAGCUUGUUCUGGCUACAGAGGUAGUAAGUCUCCUACUGCCUCUUCAUUGUCAAGAUCAUUCUGAGCCAGGAAAAGAGAGACAAGAAGGGAAUGGGAACAGUUCUGUAGAAUUUGAUCCUCACUUUUCUUGAGCUCUUUGCUCUGAACAAAACUAAAGCAGAUGUUUUGCCAUCUCUGUCAUCUGUUGUGGCUCCAGGUGACACAUCUCAGAGGUUCCUGUGACAUUUUCAUGUUUGCGGAGCUCCUGCCUCCCAUUGCCUGUCAAGGUCCUUCCACAGCAACACCCCUGGGCAGCAGCACACACUUCUGCAACCACCAUCCAAAUUGGUGUGUCCAAGACUUCAUGGUCGGAACGCAUUGCUGCAAAUUUCCAAACCCUUUUCACAGUAACUCUCAUCAUAACAGCUGCCAUCUCUGUAGUGCCCAGCAUUGGGCUGAGGGUUAACCACUUAUUGUCUCUUCUACAUGUGAAAAUAACCUUAUGAAGAUGUUAGUAAUAUUCCCAUUUUAAAGAUCAAAAAACUGAGGCUCAGAGAGGUUACCUUGUCAAGAAUCCUAGUUACUGAGUGGCAGAACUGGGAUGUGAAUACACCUCUGUCUGGUUUCAAAGCUCAUGCUCUAAUAUAAGCUGUAUAUUUGGGUGAGACUGCUUCUUGGGACCAAGGGUAACUCUGGAGAGGCGUUCAGCAGAGGCUACAGUAUUUACCUCUUGUAGCAGUUAGGGGAAGCAGCUAUUACCUACUAUUUCAUGCCCAGCAGGUGUAAUCCUGCCAUUUGUAUGGUGAGGUUUGCCAUCCUAAAUCUAGAACCCAUGAUUGCCUUCAUUAGACUGCCUUUGCCAGCCCGGUAUACCUACUCAGAAGACAUAUCUGAGCUGACUGUGAACUGAAUUUUGUUCAGGACUUUAUUUAUUAUCUGGGUCUUAUGUUCACCCCCUCUAAUGGAGUGUUCAUUCUUGUUUCAGGUCCCCAGGUAUCAAUGUCAACAACAAUCCGUGUCCAACAUCUUCAAAAUGUUUGGGCAUUUACCCUCCCCAGAGUCCAGUUACCCAAGGAAAUGGCUGCAGGUCCCUUUGGAGGAAGGUCUGGGAGAUUAGCUUCUUCUUCAGUCCGUCUUGCCCUCAGCUUCCUGAUGAGCCAUCCUUGGUUUAUUUUAGUUGUAGAGGUUGAGCAAUAAUACUUUGUUGGCUGCCUGUUUUUCCCCUCGAAUGCAAAUUUCUUUUUACCAUUUCCGUAGCUCUUUGUGGGUUAGAUCCCACUAGCUGUCACACCCACUUUGCUGCCCCUUAUGAUAAUUACAUUAUGAUGACUACAAACACCUUGCAUUGGACAGUAAGUGCUACCUCUAUCAGUCCCAUUGUUACUAGGGAGCCCAGGCCUAUAUCAUCUACCUUUGGAUAUCCUGUAAUAGUCUUGACCUUCAGAGAAGAGCACCCACUGAGCUUCUUCAUGACACUUGCCCUCUCACCGGCGUAUUCUUCUUGCUUUGGCAAAUACAGCAUUCUUCUAGGCCCUCUUGUGAAAAAAAAACCUAUCAGCUGUUCGGUUCUCUGGCCUUGUAUGGUAUAUCCACUCUAGCUUGCCUAUUUUCUGAGCCUUUCAUCCCUUCCUUCCCCAUCCUCCAUGAUCUGACAUCUCCAUUUGACUUGGCAUCACAUUUUCUAAGCGUCCAACUCCUGGGGUCCUUACCAGGAUGUUAAAUGUUGCAUCAAAGGAGAGUGCUUCCAUAGCAAUACAUUUUCCCCAUCCAGCUUUGCAUUUCAUCCCACUUUGUCCAGCAGUCUCUCUAUUCCCUCCUGCACAUGUGCUUGUGGCACUUGUAGGACAUAUUGGCUGGGUCCCACAGCUCUCUGGGCUAUAGUUCGUUUCUUCCCUUAGCACGUUUACACUUUUCUGGCUAGAAUAUGUUGUGGCUUGACCUUACCUAUGGGUCUGGUGGCCAAGAGUAGAUUUUUGAGGGGAGAAGGAGGGAGUUGUCAUGCAUUGUCUUGCAAAGCAGAACCUCAUCAUCAUCUUCAUGCAAAAGCAGGCAUUAGCCUUUAAGGAGAAGAGUAGGAUACUAUUCCAGGCCUAGAGAAUUCCAGAGGAUCUGGGAACUUGAGAACUUGAGAUGUUUUAAUAUAUGAACCCAAAUGUCCCCAUCCCACUCUUUCCUAAUCAUAGAACUGACUUUGGCCUAGCCGACCUGCCAGGACUAAACUUCAGUGUUGCUUUCAGUAUUUCUACUCUUAUAAUUAAACCUGGGGCCUGCUUCUCAGCUGUAUCUGCCCUGCAGUUGCAGAGGAUAAUAGUCUUUUCAUAGGCUUCAUAUAAAAGCCAAGAGGUCCUCUGGUAUGUGUACCUUGCCUUAUAUUGGUGUUUAAUCACUUAGUCUUUUAUUAAAUUUCUCCAAUGAAUUAACAGCUUCUAGCAACAACCAUCUGAUUCCAUAGUUCUUAUAAUUACUAUUUCCCCCAAAACUCUUAAACACCUGAGAUCUCGCAUCUGCCAGAGCAGUUUCUUCCCAAGUAUCAUGUCCUAGUUCACCACCAGUGAAAAUUUUAACAAGUGAAUCAUAACUGCAAGUGCCUACCACCAGUGAUGAGGUCUUCACUGAAGCAGCUAGCAGAUGACAGCUCCAACAUGCUGCUGGGACCAACGUUCAUAGGUCAAGUUCCCCAGAAAACAGACUGUGUGCAGGAGGUUUCCUAUGAGUGGUCUCAGGACCAGCCCCUGCGAGGGGUGAGGGAAGCAGAAGUGGGCAGGGGGAAUAAACUAUGAUCCAGUUGCAACAGCAGACUCAGCCAAUCCUGUGGGGAGCUCUGGAACUGGACUCUUUCCAGUUGAGGCAAGACGGCUGGAACCCUGUGCCCCUUCAUCAGUGAGUAAUAGGAUGCAGGCUGCCUCCAGGUAAGGGAUGUAUCUUUGGGUGAGACUGCUUCUUAGGACCAAUGGUAAUUCUGGAGAGGGGCUCAGCAAGAGGCUACAAUAUCUACAUCUUGCAGCAGCUAGGGGAAGUAGUGCUCCCAUCCUGAUGGCACAUCUGGGCAGCAUGUCCCUUCACUUUUUCUCUCCAAUGAGAGAGAAGAAAAGAGAUUAAAAAUAAAAUAGCCCCUUUGUUUUAUAUUUGAAAUGAUUGCUCUUGUGAUUAUAAUUUGCAACCUUAAUAUAAAAUGCACUGAAUUAAC